AUUGAACGCUGGCGGCAGGCCUAACACAUGCAAGUCGAGCGGAUGAAGGGAGCUUGCUCCUGGAUUCAGCGGCGGACGGGUGAGUAAUGCCUAGGAAUCUGCCUGGUAGUGGGGGAUAACGUCCGGAAACGGGCGCUAAUACCGCAUACGUCCUGAGGGAGAAAGUGGGGGAUCUUCGGACCUCACGCUAUCAGAUGAGCCUAGGUCGGAUUAGCUAGUUGGUGGGGUAAAGGCCUACCAAGGCGACGAUCCGUAACUGGUCUGAGAGGAUGAUCAGCCACACUGGAACUGAGACACGGUCCAGACUCCUACGGGAGGCAGCAGUGGGGAAUAUUGGACAAUGGGCGAAAGCCUGAUCCAGCCAUGCCGCGUGUGUGAAGAAGGUCUUCGGAUUGUAAAGCACUUUAAGUUGGGAGGAAGGGCAGUAAGUUAAUACCUUGCUGUUUUGACGUUAUCAACAGAAUAAGCACCGGCUAACUUCGUG
rnacentral:rRNA from 1 species